GACGAACGCUGGCGGCGUGCUUAACACAUGCAAGUCGAACGGAAAGGCCCUGCUUUUGUGGGGUGCUCGAGUGGCGAACGGGUGAGUAACACGUGAGUAACCUGCCCUUGACUUUGGGAUAACUUCAGGAAACUGGGGCUAAUACCGGAUAGGAGCUCCUGCUGCAUGGUGGGGGUUGGAAAGUUUCGGCGGUUGUGGAUGGACUCGCGGCUUAUCAGCUUGUUGGUGUGGUAGUGGCUUACCAAGGCUUUGACGGGUAGCCGGCCUGAGAGGGUGACCGGCCACAUUGGGACUGAGAUACGGCCCAGACUCCUACGGGAGGCAGCGGUGGGGAAUAUUGCACAAUGGGCGGAAGCCUGAUGCAGCAGCGCCGCGUGCGGGAUGACGGCCUUCGGGUUGUAAACCGCUUUCGCCUGUGACGAAGCGUGAGUGACGGUAAUGGGUAAAGAAGCACCGGCUAACUACGUG
rnacentral:rRNA from 1 species